rnacentral:rRNA from 1 species
CCUACGGGAGGCUGCAGUGAGGAAUAUUGGUCAAUGGCCGAGAGGCUGAACCAGCCAAGUCGCGAGAGGGAAGACGGCCCUACGGGUUGUAAACCUCUUUUGUCGGGGAGCAAAGCGAGUCACGUGUGACUCCUUGAGAGUACCCGAAGAAAAAGCAUCGGCUAACUCCGUGCCAGCAGCCGCGGUAAUACGGAGGAUGCGAGCGUUAUCCGGAUUUAUUGGGUUUAAAGUGUGCGCAGGCGGAGGUGCAAGUCAGCGGUCAAAUUGCGGGGCUCAACCCCGUACUGCCGUUGAAACUGCAUCUCUUGAGUGAGUGAGAAGUAGGCGGAAGUCGUGGUGUAGCGGUGAAAUGCAUAGAUAUCACGCAGAACUCCGAUUGCGAAGGCAGCAUACCGGCGCUCAACUGACGCUCAUGCACGAAAGUGUGGGUAUCGAACAGGAUUAGAUACCCCUGUAGUC